rnacentral:rRNA from 1 species
UACGUAGGGGGGCGAGCGUUGUCCGGAUUUAUUGGGCGUAAAACGCUUGUAGGCGGCCACCGCGCGUCGGACGUGAAAUCUCCCGGCUCAACUGGGAGGGGUCGUGCGAUACGGCGGGGCUCGAGGCCGGUAGGGGGGACGCGGAAUUCCCGGUGUAGUGGUGGAAUGCGUAGAUAUCAGGAGGAACACCGGUGGCGAAGGCGGAUCUCUGGGCCUUACCUGACGCUCAGGCGCGAAAGCUAGGGGAGCGAACUGG